AUUGAACGCUGGCGGCAGGCCUAACACAUGCAAGUCGAGCGAGUGGCGGACGGGUGAGUAAUGUAUGGGAAAAUGCCUGAUGGAGGGGGAUAACUACUGGAAACGGUAGCUAAUACCGCAUACCAUCGGAUGUGCCCAGAUGGGAUUAGCUAGUAGGUGGGGUAACGGCUCACCUAGGCGACGAUCCCUAGCUGGUCUGAGAGGAUGACCAGCCACACUGGAACUGAGACACGGUCCAGACUCCUACGGGAGGCAGCAGUGGGGAAUAUUGCACAAUGGGCGAAAGCCUGAUGCAGCCAGGCCGCGUGUGUGAAGAAGGCCUUCGGGUUGUAAAGCACUUUCAGCGGGAAGGCGUUACCCGCAGAAGAAGCACCGGCUAACUCCGUGCCAGCAGCCGCGGUAAUAC
rnacentral:rRNA from 1 species